UGGGUCUCAGGAUGCAGUGAGUAGCUGAUGUCAUGGUUCAGCAGGCUGUCAGUGGCCUGGGACUGUCCUGCAUGACUUUUGCUUCUGCUGUGUUAUCCAGCCUCAAUUCUGCCUACUUUUUAUCCUGCAUGGCUUGGAACUGGAAUCUGUCAUCACUGGCCUCUGCUUGGUGUUUGUUUCAGUUACUUUCAGUUGGGCUGAAGGAAACUGCAUUGUCCAUUUUCAACAUCUUG
rnacentral:lncRNA from 1 species